rnacentral:rRNA from 1 species
AUUGAACGCUGGCGGCAGGCUUAACACAUGCAAGUCGAGCGGGGUGAUGGUGCUUGCACUAUCACUUAGCGGCGGACGGGUGAGUAAUGCUUAGGAAUCUGCCUAUUAGUGGGGGACAACAUCUCGAAAGGGAUGCUAAUACCGCAUACGUCCUACGGGAGAAAGCAGGGGAUCACUUGUGACCUUGCGCUAAUAGAUGAGCCUAAGUCGGAUUAGCUAGUUGGUGGGGUAAAGGCCUACCAAGGCGACGAUCUGUAGCGGGUCUGAGAGGAUGAUCCGCCACACUGGGACAGGGACACGGCCCAGACUCCUACGGGAGGCAGCAGUGGGGAAUAUUGGACAAGGGGGGGAACCCUGAUCCAGCCAUGCCGCGUGUGUGAAGAAGGCCUUAUGGUUGUAAAGCACUUUAAGCGAGGAGGAGGCUCUUUUGGUUAAUACCCAAGAUGAGUGGACGUUACUCGCAGAAUAAGCACCGGCUAACUCUGUGCCAGCCGCCGCAGUAA